rnacentral:rRNA from 1 species
GUCAAGUCAUCAUGGCCCUUAUGUCCAGGGCGACACACGUGCUACAAUGGCCGGUACAGAGGGAAGCGAUCCUGUGAAGGUGAGCGGAUCCGGUAAAGCCGGUCUCAGUUCGGAUUGAAGUCUGCAAUUCGACUUCAUGAAGCUGGAAUCGCUAGUAAUCGCAGAUCAGCCAAGCUGCGGUGAAUACGUUCCCGGGCCUU